rnacentral:rRNA from 1 species
GGAGGGGGCAAGCGUUGUUCGGAAUUACUGGGCGUAAAGGGCGCGUAGGCGGAAGAUCAAGUCAGGGGUGAAAGGCCUGGGCUCAACCCGGGAACUGCCUUUGAAACUGGUUUUCUAGAGUACGGGAGAGGAUGGCGGAAUUCCCAGUGUAGAGGUGAAAUUUGUAGAUAUUGGGAAGAACACCGGUGGCGAAGGCGGCCAUCUGGCCCGGUACUGACGCUAAGGCGCGAAAGCGUGGGGAGCAAACAGGAUUAGAUACCCUGGUAGUCCACGCCGUAAACGAUGUGUGCUAGCCGUUGGGGCUUCAGGUCUCGGUGGCGCAGCUAACGCGUUAAGCACACCGCCUGGGGAGUACGGCCGCAAGGUUA